GGCGUGGCGGAGAAGUGAGGAAGGAGAGUGGUGAGACGAGAGGAGGAAGAUUGCGUAUUACCACGAGCCGGAUCGACAUUCAACGCAGAGAAGGUGAAUCAGAUAGCGCUCUGGGUGACCGGAAAUGCCCGGAGUUCCUCUGUUGCUGCGGGGAAGUGCAGAUAGCCACUCGCUUGAGCCAAAGCCACGACGUUUCAUCGUACCACGGGACCCGUUGCAUUCGGGAAAAUAUUAGGCCUGCAACGUAGGAGAGAAACACACACAAUGAUGGACAGGAAGGCAUCAUAGAGGAUUUGGAAGAAGAUAUUGUGUGAAUAUAUUUUACUGGAACUUGAUCUUCAUUACACCUGCUUUCUUUUUCUGUUUAGAGAUGUGCUUAUAUAUUUACUGUAUUCAAGUUCAAUGUCAAUUGUAACAUAAUGUGUUCAGCUAAUUGUUGCUAGAGCACUGUAAUUUUUGCUAAAAGUUUGCUACAAUCUUAAUGUUUUGCUACUAAUUAUCAUGCUGUAAGAUUUUUUCAUGUGAAACCCUACAAGAUAUUAGAAGACCAAGCGGAUAGAUGGGUAAAAAGACAAUAUUCACCAAUAAUAUGAUAUCAUGUGAUCUAAUACAAUUUUAAUGAAAAUAAACUAUUAUUAAGGUUAUUUAUAAGUCUAUUAAGGUCCUAUUUAGCACUUCCAAAGCAUAGAUUUCUAUGGAACCUCUUAAAAGGGGUUCUCUUUAGCACCAAAAUGGGUUCUACUGUUGUUACAAACCAAAGAACCCUAAUCUGUUUGAACCAUUUUUCUUAAGAGUGUAGUUAAUGCAGUUUGUGUGAUAAUAAUAUAUCUUUUAUAUCAAAAUUUGUAUGAUAUUUUCUUCCAUACAAAAACUGCAAAUGAGUUCUCUUUUGGAAGACAUCCCAUCUCAUUUCAUUUAAAAAUAAAACUUCAA